AGGCUGAAAUUCGCCUUCAUGAAGCUGGAAUUGCUAGUAAUGGCAGGUCAGCAUACUGCCGUGAAUACGUUCCCGGGCCUUGUACACACCGCCCGUCACACCAUGAGAGUUGGAAAUACCCGAAGCCUGUGAGCUAACUGUAAAGAGGCAGCAGUCGAAGGUAGAGCCAAUGAUUGGGUAAAGUCGUAACAAGGUAGC
rnacentral:rRNA from 1 species